AGUGAACGCUGGCGGUAGGCCUAACACAUGCAAGUCGAACGGCAGCACAGUAAGAGCUUGCUCUUGCGGGUGGCGGGUGGCGGACGGGAGAGGAAUACAUCGGUAUCUACUUGUUCGUUGGGGAUAACGUAGGGAGACUUACGCUAAUACCGCAUAACGCCUACGGGUGAAAGCAGGGGAUCUUCGGACCUUGCGCGAUUGAAUGAGCCGAUGUCGGAUUAGCUAGUUGGCGGGGUAAAGGCCCACCAAGGCGACGAUCCGUAGCGGGCUUGAGAGGAUGACCAGCCAAACUGGAACUGGGACACGGCCCAGACUCUUACGGGAGGCAGCGGUGGGGAAUUUGGGCAAAGGGGGGAAGGCUGGUCCCAGCCAGCCGGGGGGGGGAAAGAAGGCUUUCGGGUUGUAAAGCCUUUUUGUUGGGAAAGAAAAGCAGGAGGUUAAUCCGCCGCUGUUUUGAGGGAACCGAAAGAAUAAGCACGGGCAAAUUCGGU
rnacentral:rRNA from 1 species